rnacentral:tRNA from 1 species
GCCGUCGUGGUGCAGUGGUCAGCACGCUCGAUGCGUAAGCGUGAAGUCCGUGGUUCGAUUCCCGGCGAAGGUG